AGUGAAACCCUGUCUGAAAACCAACCAACCAACCAACCAACCAACCAACCAACCAACAAACAACAAACAAAACAACCACCACCAAGGAACCGUCUUCCACAGCUAAUUGUGAAGGCCCCACAUGCAUUCCAUGUAUCCAUUCAUUGCCAUGGAGACCAUCGUUGGAACAAUUCAUCUGAACAGGCCUUGAUGAAGUACAGAGACAUUGUGCCAGGAAGUGGCGCAGCUAAGGGCCAAACCAGGGCAUCUGGCUCCAGACUGUCGCCUUGGUCACACAGCCUCUAACGGUGGGAUGGACAAUAUGUAAGUAGGAGAUGGAUGAAGGUAACACUCCCGGACAGGGUGCUGUGGACUUCACUUUCCACCCCGAGCCAGGACAGAGGUCUGUGUACAAGGCUGGUUUGUGGAACGCUGUAAGUGUAAUAGACACAUGGAUGUUGGCCAAACUUAGAACAGGUAUAGACUUGAAGCUUCUACUCCCAAUGUUAAGUAGUGAAAUAAACAGCUCUGUUCUUGGCCUAACCCCAGUUUCCUGCUUUUCAGUUGGAUAAAGAUCAAGGCUCUCUUGAUUUAGGAUUACAGGAUCAAGGGACAUGACAAGGCCUGUUAAGCCAUCAGAGACUUUUCAGUGACUCUGUAAGGGACCACAUGGGGAAGGAUGCCAUGUCUAUGCCAACUCUGGAUGGUUCUGUGGAGCCAGGAGCUCCUCUCUGUGAAUGUCUGCAGUGUUACCAAGUACUGUGGGCUGUGUUCUCUUCCUUGAAGGCAUGCCUCCGCUAGAGCCGACUGAGGCCAUCUUUCUUACUUCUGACCACAUUUGACCACAAACCUUCCCAUUCUGAGAUGCUUUCACGCUUCUGCUCAAGGGCCAAUGCGUUAGGCCAAGAAAAGUGCCCAACUGGAUUUUCAGGAUAGCGGUGGGACGGCAGGGAGUAGAGAUCUGUGGACAUGGACUAGAAUGACUUAAAACGACAAAUAAAUAUAUAAAAAAAAAUACCCUGAAGAAAAAAAAAAUGAAGUUUUCAUUUCACUGGAGGACUUUUCAAAUCAUGUUUUAUGUCACAGUCCAAAAGCGACACUUCGACAUGGAGUCAUCUUCUCCUGGAAAGAGUGUAACAAGUGACAAAUGGGGACAGCAUGAUCAGGCAACAACAGACAAUGACCCCUAGCAGACUAACGGAGAGAGAGAGAUGCGGUAGGCUCAGUUCUCAUAAUCACAUUUCAGAGCAUGGUUUACUGCAGUCAAUAUUCCUUUGACAGACCUGCUCAAGUGACAGGUGGUGACCAGUAGCCCAAGAGCUAAAUGUCCCUCUCUUCUCCGCCAUCUGAGGCUUCAGAGCUGCUUUUCUGGCUCACUCUAUUGUGACAAAGCCAUUCUUCACAUGACCUGUGCCAUUCUUCACAUAGCUUUGGUGGAGGAGAAACAGGUUAAAAACAACCAGUAGACAGAACAGACCAUGUGAGCAGACAAGGUUUCAGCUGAGAGAGAAAGAAGGCCGGAGAGUUGCCCAUGGAGAUAAGCACACAGAUUCGAUUUCCUAUCCACUGCAACUCCAGGAGGAAGAAGUCGCCUUCACAGCUGGAGGAAUAGGAUGCUUGAAGGGAUGAAGGAACCCAGAGUGGCGUUUAACAUUUGCUGAAGGAGAUGCUUUGAGUGGUGGAUUCUAGCAUUUAUAGGAUGACUUGGUGAUCAUCUCUUCUUUCCCUGCCCUUCAGUGCCAUCCCAGUACUGCUGACCUCACGCCUUACAAUAUCUAUCUCAACACUUCUCAUGUGAGCACUCUGAACUUCCAGAGGUAAAGACAAAAGGUCCUCUUCAUCGCAUAUUAGAUUUUGAAUUUUAAGAAACAAAAUUCUUUCCCGAAGCAUGCCCUCCCCCAGUUUUCCGAACAGCUUUGCUUUUGUUAGUUCAGGCAGCUGUGGCAAAUACCGCAGACUGGGUAACUG